rnacentral:rRNA from 1 species
GACGAACGCUGGCGGCGUGCUUAACACAUGCAAGUCGAACGGUGAAGCGCCUUCCUUUUUGGUGGGUGUGGAUGAGUGGCGAACGGGUGAGUAACACGUGAGUAACCUGCCCCCUUCUUCUGGAUAACCGCAUGAAAGUGUGGCUAAUACGGGAUAUUCUGGGUCUGUCGCAUGAUGGGUCUGGGAAAGAUAUUGUUUCGGUGGGGGAUGGGCUCGCGGCCUAUCAGCUUGUUGGUGGGGUGAUGGCCUACCAAGGCGGUGACGGGUAGCCGGCCUGAGAGGGUGGACGAUCACACUGGGGCUGAGCCACGGACCAGACUACUACGGGAGGCAGCAGGGGGGAAUAUUGCACGAUGGGCGCAAGCAUGAUGCAGCGACGCCGCGUGAGGGAUGGAGGCCUUAGGGUUGUGAACCUCUUUCGCCAGUGAAGCAGGGCUGCCUCGUUUGUGGGUGGGUUGACGGUAGCUGGAUAAGAAGCGCCGGCUAACUACGUG